UCAAUGUGCCCGCCGUGUCCAUGAAGAGAGGCUGAGGCGGCCGAGCUCCAGCCCGAGGCACCGGGGCGCCUGGACGGCGAGGAUGUCGGCUUCGUUAGUCCGGGCCACUGUCCGGGCUGUGAGCAAGAGGAAGCUGCAGCCCACCCAGGCCGCCCUCACCCUGACACCUUCAGCAGUAAACAAGAUAAAACAACUUCUUAAAGAUAAGCCUGAACAUGUUGGUGUGAAAGUUGGUGUCCAAACCAGGGGUUGUAAUGGCCUUUCUUAUACUCUAGAAUAUACAAAAACAAAAGGAGAUUCUGAUGAAGAAGUUGUUCAAGAUGGAGUCAGAGUGUUCAUCGAAAAGAAGGCACAGCUAACACUUUUAGGAACAGAAAUGGACUAUGUUGAAGACAAACUAUCCAGUGAGUUUGUUUUCAAUAACCCAAACAUCAAAGGAACGUGUGGCUGUGAAGAAAGCUUUAAUAUUUGACUCCUCAAGACUACUGUGGCUGUAAGCUCCAGAAAGCCUGCAGGAGCCCUGGGCUUACUGAUGAAAUCAUGACAGUCACAUGCUUAAGGUUGAUAGUGCAUGGCUGCCUUAUGAGGACAAUAAAGUGAUGCAUUUUGAAAAUGAAGCCAGUGUAUUAGAUUCCAGAAGAAGUGAUAUUUGUAUCAAUGAGAGGCCAUCCCUCUCUUUGGGUCAUUUUUCUGAUCUAGAAAGAAAAAAAAAAUCCUACCCUGCACUUAAUUCUCUUGCAUCCUUUCUGUUAGAACCAGUUUCAUGGAAGGUGCCUGCCUGGGAGGAUUUCGUGAAACCCUUUAAUAGGUGUGCUGUAUUCCAUAGAUACCUGUUGAAU